CGCCGCCGCAAUCCCUGCUGCCGAGCCGGUCGAGCUGAUUACCGGCGAUGAGGUAGCGGUGGUUGAUGGGCUUAAGGAGAAUGAACAUGUACAGUUGGACGAUUUGACUAACAAUUUGAAAUACUCAUCGUUUUUGAGCUCCGAUGGGAGCCUCGCAAUUCAUGCUGGUGAAAGAUUAGGUCGCGGUAUAGUUACAGAUGCAAUUACGACCCCGGUGGUUAAUACUUCUGCUUACUUCUUUAAGAAAACUUCUGAGCUUAUUGAUUUCAAGGAGAAACGCCGUG
rnacentral:misc_RNA from 1 species